rnacentral:siRNA from 1 species
GACUAUAUAGACCACGGAAAUUGA